AGCUCUAAAACAUGCACACAUCGCCCGUCGCUCUCAUUAUUAAGGUGAGAUAAGUCGUAACAUAGUAGAUGUACUGGAAAGUGUAUCUAGAAUG
rnacentral:rRNA from 1 species